rnacentral:lncRNA from 1 species
CCUGUACAUGUUGCUUCAAGCUGGGGGAGAAGUGAUAUAGUUCGUGAACUUAUUGGCCGUUGCCCCGAUAUGGACGAGUUAGUUGAUAAUGAAGGAAGGAAUUUUCUCCAUGUUGCUGUAGUACACAAUAGAGCAGAGAUAGUUAACUUCGUUUGCCAGAGACCAUUGCUCGUGAAAAUGAUGAAUGCAGAGGACAGCAAUGGAAAUACACCGCUACAUCUUGCUGUGGCAUCCGAGAACCAUCGUAUAAUGAGUCUUCUAUUGGAAAACAAAAGUGUGCACCCAAGAAUUAUAAACAAGAAUGGUCAAACACCUCUAGGUCAUGAAAGAAGAUGGCAUCCAAAAUCACCCCCGCCGCCAAAUCCAUCACCGCCACUGCCACCGCCAUCGCCAGCGCCAGC